ensembl:snoRNA SNORD24 Small nucleolar RNA SNORD24
UGCAAAUGAUGUUAACUUUUUGCUGUCUAAAUACACUUGAUGACAACCACCAAGAUCGCUGAUGCA